rfam:Bacteroides fragilis NCTC 9343, complete genome
ACAAUGAAGAGUUUGAUCCUGGCUCAGGAUGAACGCUAGCUACAGGCUUAACACAUGCAAGUCGAGGGGCAUCAGGAAGAAAGCUUGCUUUCUUUGCUGGCGACCGGCGCACGGGUGAGUAACACGUAUCCAACCUGCCCUUUACUCGGGGAUAGCCUUUCGAAAGAAAGAUUAAUACCCGAUAGCAUAAUGAUUCCGCAUGGUUUCAUUAUUAAAGGAUUCCGGUAAAGGAUGGGGAUGCGUUCCAUUAGGUUGUUGGUGAGGUAACGGCUCACCAAGCCUUCGAUGGAUAGGGGUUCUGAGAGGAAGGUCCCCCACAUUGGAACUGAGACACGGUCCAAACUCCUACGGGAGGCAGCAGUGAGGAAUAUUGGUCAAUGGGCGCUAGCCUGAACCAGCCAAGUAGCGUGAAGGAUGAAGGCUCUAUGGGUCGUAAACUUCUUUUAUAUAAGAAUAAAGUGCAGUAUGUAUACUGUUUUGUAUGUAUUAUAUGAAUAAGGAUCGGCUAACUCCGUGCCAGCAGCCGCGGUAAUACGGAGGAUCCGAGCGUUAUCCGGAUUUAUUGGGUUUAAAGGGAGCGUAGGUGGACUGGUAAGUCAGUUGUGAAAGUUUGCGGCUCAACCGUAAAAUUGCAGUUGAUACUGUCAGUCUUGAGUACAGUAGAGGUGGGCGGAAUUCGUGGUGUAGCGGUGAAAUGCUUAGAUAUCACGAAGAACUCCGAUUGCGAAGGCAGCUCACUGGACUGCAACUGACACUGAUGCUCGAAAGUGUGGGUAUCAAACAGGAUUAGAUACCCUGGUAGUCCACACAGUAAACGAUGAAUACUCGCUGUUUGCGAUAUACAGUAAGCGGCCAAGCGAAAGCAUUAAGUAUUCCACCUGGGGAGUACGCCGGCAACGGUGAAACUCAAAGGAAUUGACGGGGGCCCGCACAAGCGGAGGAACAUGUGGUUUAAUUCGAUGAUACGCGAGGAACCUUACCCGGGCUUAAAUUGCAGUGGAAUGAUGUGGAAACAUGUCAGUGAGCAAUCACCGCUGUGAAGGUGCUGCAUGGUUGUCGUCAGCUCGUGCCGUGAGGUGUCGGCUUAAGUGCCAUAACGAGCGCAACCCUUAUCUUUAGUUACUAACAGGUUAUGCUGAGGACUCUAGAGAGACUGCCGUCGUAAGAUGUGAGGAAGGUGGGGAUGACGUCAAAUCAGCACGGCCCUUACGUCCGGGGCUACACACGUGUUACAAUGGGGGGUACAGAAGGCAGCUAGCGGGUGACCGUAUGCUAAUCCCAAAAUCCUCUCUCAGUUCGGAUCGAAGUCUGCAACCCGACUUCGUGAAGCUGGAUUCGCUAGUAAUCGCGCAUCAGCCACGGCGCGGUGAAUACGUUCCCGGGCCUUGUACACACCGCCCGUCAAGCCAUGGGAGCCGGGGGUACCUGAAGUACGUAACCGCAAGGAUCGUCCUAGGGUAAAACUGGUGACUGGGGCUAAGUCGUAACAAGGUAGCCGUACCGGAAGGUGCGGCUGGAACACCUCCUUU